rnacentral:lncRNA from 1 species
UCAAUAAAUCAUCCUUUGCCCUCACUUCGCUUUCGCAUGUGUUCGUGAGUGCAACCCAGUCUGCAGUGAAAUUUUUUGGAAGGUAUCUUGAAAACGACCACGUUUGCAACGAGUGGCAACAUGGCAACAUUUUAUCUCAUCGCGAAAUUGAUGAUGCUUCAAGUAUUGGUAUUCUCGUAUGAUGUAUCAUCAAGCACUACGAUGACCCAGAUGAAUGCAGCCACUCCAAGUAGCAUUGUUGUAGCCUCAACAACGGGUUUAAUAGUUACCUUGACAUUAUCAGUUAGAACUAAUUGCAGUGGUGGCGAAUUGAUGGCCUUAAACAACAGCUUGCAGAACGACGUGAGUAAAAGCGAAACCGUACUUCGUUCCGACACAACAACAUGCAAUCCUCGCACGUUAUUACCGUUUUUAAACAUUUAAUUAAAAAUUUUAGUCUGAAAUAGAGCGGCUUUUCGCAGUCAAGUCUGGAAAUGGGUAUAGCAUAGAAUAAAAGAUGUGUCAUUAAUUACUGUUAUAUCUCGCUUAAAUCUUUGUGUAGGGGUGUACCGCUGGGUCACUGAAGCCUUUACGCUAUACUUGACCAUGAACAACCUAUCUUAUCUACCCUAUCUUACACUAGACACUAAAACCCCUAUCCUAUCCCCAGACUAGCUAGUUUCAGUGCAGAAGCUGUCACUAUCGUAGUCCAACACAUGCUAACUAAACCAAUGUCUUACAGAGUCACUUCCAAGCGGAGUUUCAAUUUCUAUUAUAGGGCCUCGGGUGAUUAAAUAACCCCGUUUUAGACUGAGUUAUUAUUACCCUGACCGUUUUUAAAUGUACGGUAUCGAAUUUGACCAAUAGCGGUAUAAUUUGUGAAGUAGGUUAAUCAUUAACGCGCUCAUGGACAGUAAUGCUUGAUCAUAUGAUAGCUCAGCAGUUCUUUUGAGAGAGCGUUCUGGCUUAGUUCUUGUGGGGCUUACACGAAGAGUGUAGCCACAUUAUAGCAUGAUCGGAUUUAUUUAUUUGUCCACGAGGGUCAGCGUCUGUCACGUGGUCUUGUAUCGUACGGUGUACUAGUCUGAAUCAGCCAUUUCGGUUGGAAGUGUGGUCUCUAGUUUCCCCUGCUUUUAGUUUUAAAGGUAAGUCGUUUUUCAUUUUGAGCUUGGUCUUGAGUUCUGCAUGUUAUCGAUAUCAUUUCUUUUACGUGUCAAAAGUCUAGCUUCGUAAUUAAAUACAAAUAACGAAACCCAUUUGCAAUUGUUGUUUCGCUUUCAGGUGUUCAUGCAAGUCGAAAACUCGAGUCUGUCAACGGGAGUAAAGUUCCUCGCGAAAGCUAGGACAGACUUGACAUGUGUCCAGUGCAGGUUCUACAGGAGCCAUUGUAUACUUUUAAAAGACAAUAUUCAGUGCUUUGAACCGUCAGAACUUUAAAAUGUCUCCAUCGGUGACCACAAAUUCAAAGACAGUACCGCUUGAGUUUGAAAACAAUAUAAAUCACAGACACCUUCUCAAGACUUUCGGAAACAAGAGGGUAAUAUAUUUCAUCGCUUUACAUUUGGAUUGAAUUAGUGGAAUUACUUGUUUACAAAUGUAAAUCAUGGAAGAGGUCAUUCAAUGAUCAGUUGACUGUAAAGCCGUCGAUUUGCGGAAUAUAUUUUUACCCUUUUGGGUAAGUACCCUUCUUCGCCUCAGUUUGAAUAUGAACUGUGACGUUUUCUCUUUGUCCAAAUUAGAUAUUCAAAAGUGAAAUAUAUUACCAUAUUAGAGUUGAUUUGCAUUUGUUUACUGUACUUAGAAAUCAUAAUCACAUUGUUCGAAAAGUAAGCUUAUUAUAUUUGGAGAUUUAGACAAUGAUUUCUUUGCUAUUUUUUUAAAUUAAUAUUGUUGACCAUACAUUAAUGUUAUGUAUGGAUUUGUCUUGUUUAAAUUUGUUAAGUCAUAUAUACAAUCAGUUUCAUUUAAAACUGGAUCAUUGCAUAAUACAAUUUGAGUUUUCAUUGGCUUGUUAGCGGUAAUACUAGUAUAUCAUUCAGUAAUUCCACCAUGCUCUACAAAUAUGGUAAGUUUAUAUGUACAAUUUAAUUAUUAGAAACAAUUAUUGGAUGAGGUUUUUGUGAUAUCCGGAAUAAUCCAGGUCGAAGAAAGUGUUGAGCCUGAUAACAGUAACCGAGACCUUAUUUCGGAUAUCACAAAAACCGAAUCUCAUAAUUGUUUUAUUAUACAUUGU